UACGUAGGUGGCGAGCGUUGUCCGGAAUCACUGGGCGUAAAGGGCGCGUAGGCGGUUAAUUAAGUCAGGUGUGAAAACUCUGGGCUCAACCCAGAGACUGCACCUGAUACUGGAUAACUUGAGUGCAGGAGAGGACAGUGGAAUUCCUAGUGUAGCGGUGAAAUGCGUAGAUAUUAGGAGGAACACCAGUGGCGAAGGCGGCUGUCUGGACUGUAACUGACGCUGAGGCGCGAAAGCGUGGGGAGCGAACAGGAUUAGAUACCCUGGUAGUCCACGCCGUAAACGAUGGGUACUAGGUGUAGGAGGUAUCGACCCCUUCUGUGCCGGAGUUAACACAAUAAGUACCCCGCCUGGGGAGUACGGCCGCAAGGUUGAA
rnacentral:rRNA from 1 species